AACGAACGCUGGCGGCAUGCCUAACACAUGCAAGUCGAACGAGACCUUCGGGUCUAGUGGCGCACGGGUGCGUAACGCGUGGGAACCUGCCCUUAGGUUCGGAAUAACUCCCCGAAAGGGGUGCUAAUACCGGAUAAUGUCUUCGGACCAAAGAUUUAUCGCCUUUGGAUGUGCCGGCGUUGGAUUAGCUAGUUGGUAGGGUAAAAGCCUACCAAGGCGACGAUCCAUAGCUGGUCUGAGAGGAUGAUCAGCCACACUGGGACUGAGACACGGCCCAGAAUCCUACGGGAGGCAGCAGAGGGGAAUAUAGGAAAACGGGGGAAAGCAUGAACCAGCACUGACGGGAGAGUGAUGAAGGCAUUAGGGUUGUAAAGCUCUUUUACCCGGGAUGAUAAUGACAGUACCGGGAGAAUAAGCUCCGGCUAACUCCGUG
rnacentral:rRNA from 1 species